CAAGUUUCUUUCCUUGAAUUACAGUAACAUUCAAUCUUCAUCUAGUAGAAAAUUGGGGGAAGAAUGGAUUGGAUCGUCUAUCUCAGUUGUAUCCUCUUGUGGAUAAAGAAAAGGCUUAGGGGGCAUUACUAAUUGUUCAAUGUCUCCUUCUAGCAUCUUAAUAACUCUGUUCAUAGAAGGGCGCUCACUUGGCUUCAUUUGUAUACACCAUAAUGCUACUAAUACCAUCUUCUUUACCAACUUCCUUUCUUCCUCGGUGACAUCUUCCAUCUCAAGCUCUUUUCCUUCACUAAAUCGGUCAUGUACCCACGACGGGAAGUGAAUUUGACUGAUAUGAUCCACAAAUGGAUUCAAAUUUUUUCUCCGACCAGCCAUUUCCAUGAGUAACAUUCCAAAACUAUAAACAUCCGCUUUAUAUGAAAUUCCACCGAUGUUUUUGUAGAACAUCUCCGGAGCCAUGUAGCCCAUUGUUCCUCUAGCUGCAGUGAGAGUUACAAUGCUAUGAUCAGUGGCAUAUAAUUUUGCUAGCCCGAAAUCGGAAAUGGCUGGAUUGAAAUUCUCAUCAAGAAGAAUGUUGUGAGGCUUGAUGUCGAAAUGCAAAAUUUGCAUGUCACAACCUCGGUGUAAGUAGUCAAUUCCAGUUGCCACCUUGUAUGAAAUUUCAUAAAUCUUUUCCCAACUCAAGGGAACAACUUCUUCUUCUGUUCCUUCUUUGCUGUAGAUGUAUUUCUCUAAAGAUCCAUUGGGCAUGAACUCAUAUAUUAGUGCACGUUUUGGACCUUCGAAACAAAAGCCGAGAAGUUCGACCACAUUGACAUGAUGAAUCCUUCCACUUGUAGCAACUUCGUUAAUGAAUUCUUUUCCAGUAGCCUUAGAGUUGGCCAGUAUCUUUACCGCUACAAAAAGACCACUACGAAGCUUUCCUUUAUAUACAGUCCCGAAACCUCCUUCACCUAGUUUAUCUUUAAAAUUAUUGGUAAGCUUCUUAAUGUCCGAGUAUGAAUACCUUAUAGGCAUCAGGUUGUUUUGAGCUUGAAGAAAAUCCUCAAUGGUGUCGUACAUUGAUAAAUGCCUUCUCCUAGCUCUAUAAACCAACAAGGCAAGCAAAAAUGGUAUUCCUAAAGAAAAUCUUGCACCCAAAAAAAUGCCUGCAACUUUACCUGCAAUUUUACCUAUAAAUUUUUUUGAAAGAAAGCACGCAUCCGAAGAUUAGUUAGCAAUAAAGAAUACAGAUUUGAGCUUAUAAUGCGUUAUAACAACACAGUAAUUGUUUUUCAACGGUACAGUUCAGCCUUUGGAAUCUUCUUUGUUUUUUCCUUUUCAUUUGAUAGCUUUAUAUUAUCUUUAUCUGAUAACAAAAAAUUGUUUUAGUAACAAAUUGUUCUAAUUAUUAUGCUUUAUAUUAUCCAUAGUUCUCUACAAAAUUUACAAUAUAUGAAUAUACUCGGCUUGUACAAGAGGAAAACAAGAAAUGAAAAAGAAGUAGUAGCUCUUGUCCUUUCUGGCCAAAGAAAGAUACGUAUCUUACCAAUUUGUACUCGGAUAUAAGGGUCUGCAGGGCGACAAAAACAGAGAAACAAAAGUUAGAAAGUGAUAUUUGUUUCUAGCGUAUAAAUAUUAAAUCUUAAUCAGCAAAAUAAAAAAAUAAAUAUUAAAUUAUUGCACCCACCUUUUAAUAUUCCAUGCCAGUUCUGCCGAAAACCUACAUGAUCAGAAUCCGUAUUAUUAUCAUAUUCAUUAAAGUUUAAGUAAGAGGGUAAUUGUAAGUGAAGGAUCUGAAAAAAUAUAUAAAAUUGGGGUUUGUGAGAAAGUGACAGGGGUCAAGUUUAUUGCUCACACGAAACUGAGAGAUGGUAUGAUCUUAAAUCUAGUAUGUUGCACAUAUUGUAGUCUGUGCAAGCCCAGCGGCGAUAAUCAGUGUUAUCAGUAUCACAAUAGCCUUUCAGGGUGCGAACCAUAUCGUCACACUUUGGGCAGUAGAAGUAACGCCAACUUAGUAUAAAUCCAUAAACCAGGGCGUCAUGAAUUUCAGACAUACUUGACAAUUCCCGGUAUCGUUGGUCUGAUACCCAAGCUACCUUGUUAAUCCUGCAAUUGUCCUCAAGUUCCUCAGAAGAGUAGCCAUCGAUCACUAUAUAGGCAUAAGAAUAAACAUAGUACUUUCCCAUCACUGAAGCAGAGAAUGAAGAAGAAUUUGGUGAGGUAAUAUUGAUGUAGUGGGUAGAUGUUACGGGAGACGGGCAUUCUAUCAUUGUAAUCGGCAGAUUAUCGAAACUUAAAAAUGAUCCUACUGAUGAUAAAUCAUUUUGUGUGAUGGAAUGAAAUGGAAGAGAAGUAGAAUUAUUCUUUUGAAUGCCAGGAUCAACAACCCUAAUGUAAUGAUCAUCAUAAUUGAUUUCCUGGACAUAAAACCAGAGCUCAUUCAAAUAUACGACAGUGCGAUUAUCGAGGCAAGACAGCUCUUGGGAAAAAGAAGCAUCACAUUUCUGGUUAUCACCCUUGAGUCUAAAAGGACACUUUAUGUUUAAGCCAUCACCGCAAGAAGAAGGAGAAGAAGGCUUGCAGCAUGAUGAGUUUAUAAGAGAUAAUAGUGCAAAGAUGAUUAUGAAUACUGAAUAGUGUUUCCAAGUCACAGAAGGCAUAAUGUUGAGUUUAUGUUUAAGAUAUCUUCUCAACUUAUAUCUAAUCAGGUACAGAGCCAAGUAUUGAAUCAGUUGUCUCACAGCGAAAGACAACUUGUGUAUAUCUAAAAGGACAGUUUAUGUAUUUAAGAUGAAAUAGCCUCCAAGUCAAGCUAAGUCAACUAUUCAAUGGUCUCCGGAACUUUCAAGUACACAAAUGUUACUUCCACGGAAUUACCCUAACAUUUAAAAAUUGAAAAGUGAUGAAGGAAUUGGAUAAAAAGUUAAAAGUUUUUUGCUUAUAUAAAAUGAUAAAUUUGUACGGGUUUGAGAAAAAGUCUGCAGGGACAGUAGAGAUAAACUCUUCAAAUAUAUCCGGGGACUCAUUCUUCAUUCUCAACUAAUUACAAAACUAUCAAAAUUCCAAUAAGCAUUAACAUUGGUCUUAAAUUAUUUGGGUUGGCUUCCAUGGGUGUCCGAGUAUAUCUUCAUCUUUCCUGGAUAAUAGUGAUAGUUGCAGUAAGAGUAGUUGUUGGAGAAAAUGUAUCAGCUGCAGGUGUUCAAGAGUGCCGGAUGACGAGAUGCUCCCAUCAUGGCCCUGAAAUUCGGUUCCCGUUCUGGAUCAAAGAGAAGCAGCAGCCUGAGCAGUGUGGCUAUCCUGGUUUCCGAGUUUUCUGUGACAGAGGAAAUACUUUGCUGCACUUGCAAUACCUGGCAAACACUUCCCUCCCCGAUACCCUCUUUUAUCUUUCUAAAAAUGUAUCCAUCCAUAGUAUCAACUACACAUCACAAGAAGUAUUUGUUUAUGUACUUAAUGGUUCCCAGUUUACCAAUAAUCUUAAACUCUUUUCCGCGUCGUCCACAUCAUUGCCGUCUACACCUCACUUUGGAAAAGCAUAUUCAUAUGAUUUCGCUAAUAUGUAUUAUCCUGAUAUAACAUAUACUAUGUGUUUCAGUUGUUCCGCAGGAGUUAAAAGUUUCAUCCCUGAUAUGCUCACGUCCCCUGGCAGGAAAACUUUCCCGGUCUAUUGUCUGGACGACCAGUACUCUGCAUUUUCCGGUGAAUAUUCAAUAUCCUCAUGUACCAAGAUUUUCAAUUCUUCUCUCCCAGCUCCUUUACUUUCGCAAGGAUAUGAUCCUUAUGCUCCGCCAGGAGUUGUGGAUGCUCUCUCUAUCAGUUGGCUAGCUCCAAACUGUAGUAAAUGUGAAGCCAAAGGGGAGUACUGUAGGAGGAAGAGUAAUGCUAGUAGUAACAUUGAAGCAGCCGAUUACAGUACCAUAUGUUUCCCUAAAGGUAUGUUCAAAAUGAAUAUACAUAAUUCAUCUUUCUUUUUGCUAAGUCAAAAUAAUUCAAUUCUAUACAGUCUCACAUAUUCUCUGAAUCAUAUCAAGUCUAUACUGAAUCAGAAUUACAAAUUUCCAAUUUAAAUUAUAAUUUUAAAAUCUAAACCUAACACUACAGUUUUUUUUUUUUUGAAAGGACUACACUACAGUUUUGUCUCGGACAAGUCUGAUAUUUCACGUAUAAUCAAUAAUUUCCUAUUUUGUUUAAAUAAUUAUAUUCUUAUUAAUCUUUUCCUAAGAAAUAUUUUUAUUGAUAUAAUAAUAUUACAACUGUUUUUUAGUCCCAAUGUUCAUGCACACUAUUUCAUAGUGCGGAUUAAUUGAUCUAAUAGAACUAAUGUUUUGGGCUAUUUUAUUGUUUAACAGGUUCUGCUGUUCGGUUUUCGAUUAAACCUAUUACAGUUAUAACCGCUGGUUCCGCUAUUUUUGUACUUUCCAUCAUGUUAUUAUUGUAUUAUAUCAUCAAAUUAUACAAGCAAAGGAAAUAUGAUGAACAAAAGAUUGAAAUGUUUCUGACGGAUUAUAGAGCCAUGAAACCCACCAGAUACUCUUAUGCCGAUAUUAAGAAAAUAACUCGUAAUUUCAGCGAUAACUUAGGAAAGGGGGGUUAUGGAUCGGUGUACAAAGGGCAAAUUACCAAGGAAAUCAUUGUUGCAGUGAAGGUACUUAAUAGUGAUCCGAAAGCCAAUGGAGAAGACUUUAUCAAUGAAGUGGGCACUAUAGGACGAAUCUAUCAUGUCAAUGUGGUUCGCUUGGUGGGAUAUAGCGCUGAUGGUUGUAAUCGAGCUCUUAUUUACGAGUUUCAACCUAAUAACUCUCUUGAAAAGUUCACAUACUCUGGAAAAAUGCUACAUGAUUUCCUUGGUUGGAAGAAGAUGCAAGAUAUCGCUUUAGGCAUAGCUAAAGGAAUUGAAUAUUUACACCAAGGAUGUGCUCAACAGAUUCUUCAUUUUGAUAUUAAACCUCAUAAUAUUUUGUUAGAUCAAAACUUCAAUCCCAAAAUUUCUGAUUUUGGUUUAGCUAAGUUAUGUUCAAAGGACAAGAGCAUUGUGUCUAUGACUAUGGCUAGGGGGACCAUCGGAUAUAUUGCACCAGAAGUAUUUUCAAGAAAUUUUGGAAAAGUAUCAUCCAAGUCAGAUGUUUAUAGUUUUGGUAUGUUAUUGCUUGAAAUGGUGGGAGCAAGGAACAAUAAUGAAGUGGAAAGCACCAGCGAAACAUACUUUCCUGAAUGGAUCUUUCAUCGCUUAGAGGAAGGUGGAGAAGUAACAAUCCAAAUAGUGAAGGAAGAGGAUUCAAAUAUCGCUAGGAGACUGACUAUUGUGGGGUUAUGGUGCAUAGGGUGGCAUCCGGUGGACAGACCUUCAAUGAAACAUGUUAUCAAUAUGCUAGAAAGUGAAGAAUGCCCGAAAGUGCCACCUAAUCCUUUCAGAUCAUCAAAUGUCCGAUCAUUUACAAAUGAUCUGGAAGUCAUUUCUGAGUCUGAGUGACAAAAAUAUUUGCAUGUAUAAUGAAUAUCAUUUGAAUUACAUUAUUGUAUUGCUUAUAAACAACAUAUCAUAAGAUAUGUCAUCAAGUCCUUUUGAUCUUUAUCAAUUACAUUUCUUUAUGUUAUAUAUAGAGGUAUCAGUGACAUUUAUUUAUGUUAUAUAUAGAAGCAACAACUUUCUUCGAACAACAUUCCAAUGAUCUAGUUAUGAUUUCGUGUAGAUAAUAUGUUUGGUUUGAAUAUUAUUCGUUAUCUUUUUAGUUCUAAUGCAUGGAGCUCUUAACUUGUUUAUUGUAAACGCAACAGUUCAACAACAGUCAAUUCAUCAUCUAGGGAUUCUACUCUAAAAUCUUAUACCGAUAUCUGGGGUAAGAAUUGAUCAUGUAUACGAACUAAAAUCAUGUGAAUUAGAAAUAAACCACCUCUUUUGUCUUUAGAUAACUAGAAUUUAGAAGGCCAUAGGCCCAUAGUGAACUAAUCCGAGGAAAAAUCAUCCAAAUGAUUCAAAAUCAUCGUCUUGUUAAUUUUCUCCACUAUUUUUUGUCUUCCAUGCGAUUGAUCGAAACUGAAGGCAAAUACUAUAGAGUAUUUAAAAAAUUCCACAAACAACAUGUUGCUCGAAAAUGGUAAGAACAACCUAUCUAAUUUGAUCAUUUGAAAGAGAAGUUUCAGCAGAUGGGCACUACUCACAUUUAGUCACAGCCACUUCAUUUUUCUACAUAGAAGAAGCAGAUCAUGCUAAAUAUAUAUUCAUUGAAGGCAGUAAUCAGUUGAUCUUUACAUUAUUAUAUCAGAGCGCAAUAUAAGUAAUUUGAGUUAGGGAAAAAAAGGCUCCUAGUCAGUUAGAUAACCUUUUAGAGCUUAGUUGAAAACUAGUUCAAUAGGCGAAUUUAUCUUAACAGAACUAUAUAUCCACACAUGAUGUAACAAGUGCCGUGUUGCCGGGAUUUGGAACGUGGAACGUCAUUUUAACUACUGAAGUGGCUAGAGACUUCGACACUUCUUUGAAGUUCAUACAGUUAUACAUUUCAACCAUAUUCUUAGUUCUAAACCCUGUCUUUAAAAUUGAAAGCAGUUGCUUUUAGUACUGGCUAUGACCAGCGCAAAUGCCAGAUUGAAUGAAGGAUAGCAGAUGUCUCGUGGUUGUCGGGAUCGAAGAUUGUUUGUAUAAUUUGGCCGGCAAGAGUAUAUUUGCAAAGACUUAUCAAAAUUUUAAUAUAUGGGGGAUCGAUAGACCUUAUACACUGUUGCUAAUUUACAUCAGGAUGAUCUCGUAAUUAGUUUGAACACCCUAGAGAAUGCAUACUUGUCAUUUGUUUAAAAGAUAAUGUGUGUGAAUGAUACGUGUUGCUUCGGAAUUAGAAUUUAGAUCUAGGACUCUUGUCUUUUUCUUUGGUCAAGUAGCAGAAGACUUGGUUAAUUCAUUGAAGUCUAUGCAUUAUACACCACUAAAUAGUCUCAAACGAAAGAUACGCACUGUUUUAAACCUCUAAAUACAGUUUCAAUCAGUUUUCCACAGUCACAUCUUCUUCAUGGUUUUCUGGCCCAUUUGAAAAUCUUGAUGAGGCUAUAGCAAAGUAUAUGAGAAAAAUCAACAGAAGAUUAGAAUCAAGUUACACGGAAGUAAAGGUAGAUAAAGACUUGCCCGGUCAACACGAUCAGGGAAAAUUCCAUGGAUUAGAAUUCUAAUACUUCGAUGACUUGCCCAAUUAACACGAUCACUAAUAAGUAAAAUUCUAUGGAAUGGAAAUCUAAUGCUGAGAAGGACUUGCCCACUUAACACGAUCUCUAGAGGUGAAAUUCUAUGGGCCAGAAAUCUCGCUUCAACUCUUUGAGGAACAACCACUUAUGUACUUAAACAGCUAAAACAACAUGAUUGUUGAUUGAGUACUGCGUGAAUCUUCUUAAUUAUUUUUUUUUUGACGAAGCGUGAAGUCUUUUAGUUUAACAAGAAAAACUAUAAAUUUCAUUAUGCAGGCGGCAGGCCCAUGCAAAGAUGAAUUUAUCUGGUGUUGCAAUUGCCGUGUUGCUUCGGUUUUAGAAUUUGGAUCUAGUAGACUCCUGUCAUUUUCCGUGGUCAAGUAGCAAAAGACUUGGUUAAUUCAUUGAGGUCUACGCAUUAUACACCACUAAAUAGUCUGAAACCAAAGAUAACACAAAUGCGAACCUCUGGAUACAGUUUGAGGAUUUUAACUACUGAAGUGGUUAGAGACUUGAAACUUCUUUGAAGUUCAUACAGUUAUAUAUUUUAACCAUAUUCUUAGUUUUAAACUCUGUCUUUAAAAGGAAAAUACUUGGUGCACAUAAUUGUGUACAAAAACAUGUACAUAAUGACAUGUGGCAGAUUUUAAUUGGAUGGCCCCCCUGCAUUUACACCAACCACCCCAAUUAAAAUCCACCACAUCACUUGCCACAUCAUUAUGUACAAAUUAUGUGCACCUAGCACUACUCGUCUUUAAAAUUGAAAGCAGUUGCUUCUAGUACGGUCUAUGAGCAGAGCAAAUGACAGAUGGAAUGAAGGAUAGCAGAUGCCUCGUGGUUGUCGGGAUUGAAGAUGGUUUGUAUAAUUGGCAAGAGUACUGGCAAACACUUAUCAAAAAUUUUAAUAUAUGGGUAUGGGGUUCGAUAGACCUUAUACACUGUUGCUAAUUUACAUCAGGAUGAUCUUGUAAGUUUAAAAAUCCUAGAGAAUGCAUACUUGUCAUUUGUUUAAAAGAGAAUGAGUGAGUGUGUUGGCAAAAAAAAAAAAAGAGAAUGAGUGUAAUUAAAGAAAAUUUAUUAAUUGUUUUAAAAAUCUGAAAAAUAGAUAUUAAAAGGGAUUAGAUAUACUUUUUAAUAAAAUAAUUUUUUUAAAUCUUUUUAAAUUGUAUAGUAUGUGUAAUUUGUGAUCAAAGUUUAGUCAACUUGACCUUUCAAUAGUCAAAACAAGACACAUAAUAUGAGACGGAGGGAGAACUAUUUUUGAAAAAUUUUGUACGCUUCUGUCCCUUUUUAGUUGUCACAUUCCUAUUUUUAUUAGUCAAAUUUACUAAUAUUUGACCAAAGAUUAUAAUUCAUUCUUACACUAUUUUAAAAAACUGAAAAUAACAUAUUAAGGUAGAUUAAAAGUUAUUUCGGUGAUUUUUUUAUUUUAUUAAUUGAUAAAAUAUUUAUAAAUUUUAGUCAAAUUUUGGUCAAUUGGACUGACCAAAAGUCAAAUAUAACACGGACGGUAAUAUUAAAAAAUGAAUGACACGUCAAAAAAGGAAAACGGUCCCAGUGGACCGAGGGAGUAUGAGACUUUGAGUCUUUGACAGAACAUCUACGCGGUUUAAAGACUUGGCAAAUCGACGUGCGGGUCAGCGAAAUUACUGUACCGUGUUAAUGGGAAUCAUACGUCGAAGACUGGGCCAGUCACCCAGACUCUGCUUCCAGUAUUUCAUGGAAGGGGGAGACGGGAGAGACAGGAGGAAGCAGAAUUAAAUUCUUUGUGGAUAAUGACAGGUUUUGUCUUCCGCUGACUGGGGAGGACCAAGUGAAAAGAUUGGUACCCCCAUUUCAAAUUACAUGUCUACUUUCAAAAAAUAACAUAGUAGUUUAAAAAAAGUGGAUUUUGAGAAAAAAAAAUGUAUUAAGUCAUUAAUUGAACCUAAUAUGUGGUAUGUAGUUGAUCUUGAGGAAUAUAAAUGUGAAAUGUGUGAAGGAGAGUUGAUUUUAGAAAAAUAAAUUUACAUUGAAAGUUGGAGGGUACAAGUAUUUUGAAACAAUUUUUUUCUUCUAAAGUGGACAUAUAUUUUGAAACGGAGAAAGUAAAAAAAAAAACUCCUUCUGUCCCUAUUUAGUUGUCACAUUUCUAUUUUUGUUAGUUAAAUAUACUAAUUUUAGACUAAAAAUUAUAAGUCAUUUUUUCUUAUUUUAAAAAACUGAAAAUUACAUUUUAAAAUAGAUUAAAAAUUACUUCCGGUGACAUAUUUUUUUAUUUUCACGAUUGUUAAAAAAAUUUAACAAAUUGACAUAGAUAUGAUAUGAUUACGCAGAAAAAUUUCCACACAACACAGCUGCAUGUGCUCCUUGGUCUCUUGUGGGGUAGUAGGAAAUUAUUCAGUAAAUUCAAAAAGACCACACGAUAAAAGCAGCUAAAGUUGUUGGCAGUUCAAUUUGUUAGAAAGCAAGCUAACAGGGUGGCAUAUCAAUUGGCCAAAUUCCCUUUACGCUAAAUGGCUUCUUAGAUUUUUCGUCUCCUCCGUCAUUCUUGUUGGAGACACUCUUGUCAGACUAUUCGAUGUUUUAAUGCUGAUUUAAUUUACUUCAAAAAAAAAAAAAGUCGUUCAAUAAUGAAUUAUGAUGAGAACUUGUCGAGGAUGUGAAGUUCUUCGAAAAUGUUGUUAGGAAUUUCAACAUUAUAUUCUCUAUGUUUCUUUAUGUAUUUGUCGAAUAAAUUCCUGAACACAUGCUAAGCAGUGAGCACUAUGUAACAUUUAUAAAUUAGAUAUUUUUAAUUAAUGUGAUUGUUGUUAAAACAAAAAUCCAUUAUUAUUAAUACAUAAAUGAGAUGGUAGCCUUGAUAGCAUAUUUCUCUUAUAUGAAGUUACAUAAUAUAUAUCAUUAUAAAAAUAUACAUAAUAUAUAGAUACAUUAUAUUUUUUAUGUAAUAUAAGUACAAAUUUUGAUUAUUUAAUCGAAAACGAAGUUAUAUAUAAUUUUUUUAUUCCAAAAAUCAUCUAAAAUUAAGCACUAUCUCAACAUGAUUCUAUAACAAAAUAAUAAUCAUCGAGAAUUAUUCUGCUGUGGAAUGAGUUUUGAAAUAAACUUUUUUCUUCAAAUUUUAAGUGUUAAAUUACUUAUAAUAGACAUGUGUCAUAAUAUUUUAUAUUAGAAUCACAUUUUAUAUGUAUUCUUCUAUGAUAGAAUUUGUAAUAAAAUUGAUGAUUUACAAUAGUAUAACAGAAGUACCUUUGUGGAAUGUUGGCCUAAAUGAGAUGGUUCAAUGAAUAACUAUUUUCUGAUAUUUUUUAAUUUAUAUGGUUGUUGUAAAAAGUAAAAACAGGGAUUCAUCAUUAUCAAUAUAUACAUGAGAUAGUUCAAUGUAUAAUAAAUUUAUCCUAACAAUUUAGUAACUUUUAGUUACAAGUUUUUUGUUUAAUCAAAAAUAAUAUCUUUUCUUAUCCAAUUUUUUAUGUAAUUCAUCAUCUAUAAGUUGUCUUAAACAAAAUUAUCAUCAAUCAAUAAUAUCUUUCAACUUUAACAAGUAUUAAGAUUCAUGUUUUGCAUAUUAGUUAUAUUGCAGAAAAUAGUGUUAUGCGAUUUAUAAGAGUAAUUGUUCUUUUGAUUAUAAUAUUUAUAUUGUUGAACAUAAUCAGCAGAUUGUCGAAUGUUUAUAAAAUAUUAUAGGACAAAAAAAUAUUAGAUGACUAGAUUAUAUAUUUUCCAAUUCUCUACUUCAAUACUUCAAUAUUUUUGUCCGGAAGCUUGCAAUGUUGAGACAUGUAACACACGUAUGAACAUAUUAUUAAUAUACGAAUGUUUUGUUUUUAUAUUAUUAAUAUUUUUUAUUCUUUUUUAUAUCAAUUUUUUAUGAUACAUAUUUUUAGCUUUUGGGUGUGCAUUAUACCACCAAUAUUAGAAAUACAUCACAAAUUAUAUUAAAAAUAUUUACACAAGAAAUAUCUAACAUGCUAAAAAUAAAAAAUAAAAAAGACAUGUAUAAAUAAAAUCCAGAAAAUCCACAUAUGCGAAAGUCGUAGCGGGCGCAGGUAGGUAAAACGUGAGAAAAAUAUAGUAAUUCAUAAUAAUAAAUAUUUUUCAAUAAAUAAUAACUUGAAAUUGAACCACCUCCUUUGAAAAAAGGAAAACUAUAAAUUUCAUAAUGCAGGCCCAUGCAAAGAUGAAUUUGUCUGGUGUUGCAAUUGCCGUGUUGCUUCCGUUUUAAUUAGAAUUUGGAUCUAGCGGACCCCUGUCUUUUUCUGUGCUCAAGUAGCAAAAGAUAACACAAAUGUGAACCUCUGGAUACAGUUUGAAUCAAUUUCCUACAGUUACAUCUCAUCCAAGCAUGGUUCCUGGUCCCAUUUGAGAAUCUUGGGGUGACUGGAGGUAGCUAGUAUAUAAAUGACAAAUCCACAAAAGAUUAGAAUCAAUUUACGUGGAAAUGAAGGUUGACAGGGACUUGCCCAAUCAACACGUACGAUGACUAAUAAGUAAAAUCUUAUGAAUUGAAAAUUUAAUGCUGAGCACAACUUGCCCAAUAAACAUGAUCACCAGAAGGGGAAACUCAAAAAUGGGCUAUAAGUGUCCGAAUGGCCUUAUCCGGCCCUAUAUCUGUGAACACCCCUAUAUCUGCUAACAUGAUUGUGGGUUGAGUACUGACUGAAGCCAUUUUGUUUAACUUUAACAGGAAAACUAUAAAUUUCAUUGUGCAGGCCCAUGCAAAGAUGAUUUGUCUUUUGUUUCAAAAUUUCACAUCCACUGCCUGACAAAUAACUAGUUCAUUUAAUAGAAAUGUCAAGGAAAUUAGAUACUCCCUCCGUCCCAUUUUAUCAGCCUUUUUAGAAUUUGGUUGUUGUCCCAAAAUAAGUGACUUUUUCUUGUUUUUAUACACUAUUUGGCAGGUGAAUUUCAAUUUUACCACUCAUUAAUCUCAUCAUCAUGCUACAAGCAAAUCUACAAUCUCAAGAUACCAUUAAUAACUACAUCCAUUUUAGUGUUAAUUUUCCAUAUCAUUACAGUGUUUGUCUUGCAUGGAAUCAAUUGAAACUAAUGUCAAGACUACAGAGUAGUAUUUAAAAAAGCAGAUGCCACAAAAGAAGCAAGUUGCUGAGAGUGAUCCCGAGAACAGCUUGCCUAAUUGAUUAGAUCAUUUCAGAGGGGAAGUUGGGUGACUAGGAAAUAUCACAUUAGGCCCAACCACUUAUUUUUCUAUGUACGAGUACGACAUGCAGCGGAUCAUGCUAAACAUAUAUCACCAGAGGCGUUAAGUGCUCUAUUUACCUCAUGCAGUGGGUCAGAUUCAUAGUCUUUUACACCUUUUUUGGUAGCCGAUUGCAUCAGUUUUACAAUCACAAAUACUAAUGUAGUCAUAGCACAACUGAAUUUGAGACUUGAACAAUGAACUUACUUAUUUUUAAGAGAAAUUCAAAAAUGGGCUUAAGUGUUCCAACUUCCAAUGGCCUUAGAUCCGUGAUCAUCCCAUAAUCUGAUAAUAUUACGAGCACUUGGAUUAUAGACUCAGGAGAGGCAUAUGAUCAAUAACUCAAUAAAAGAGUUAGUGAGUUACAUCUACCAAACAGCCAAAGUUCAAAUAAUAGUUUUGUUGGAGAUGUUCAUCUAGCACCUCCUCUGGUUCUCCAUGAAUGCGUGAUAUUAACAGAGGGGUACAUCGAGGAAAUAUGUAUCCCUGAAAGAGUGGAAGACGGUCAUAAGAAAUGGUGAAUGAAGGCCGAAAAAAAAACUUAGCUAGAAGUAGCUAACUAAUUCUGUUCUUUUAUCAGAAAAUGCUUCAACACAAACUUUAUUACACGUACCUCUGCCAUUUUUUCACUGCUACCAUUGUAAUUGGCUGACUAAGGUCACUUACACGGCUUUUUUUUUUUCCUGAUGAUAUAUCGUUUUCUAUUGAGAAAUCGUCCUAUGUGAUAUUUUAACAGAUGGGUACAUCAAUGAGGAAAUCUGUUUUUCCCGAGGGAGUGGAUUUGGAAUAUGGUCUUAAGAAAUGGUGAAUGAAGGCAAAGAAAAACGUAGCUAGAAGAAGAGCUACUAAUUUUGCUCUUACGUCACCAAAUGCUUCACCACAAACUUCAUUACACCCUCUGACAUCUUUCACUGCUACUAGGGGCCCCUCCUUAUCAUUAAUCCUCCUAUGGAUGAUGGGGAAUUUGUCGAAGGUGAAAGUGCUGAAGGUGUUGAUAGGAAAGAAAAUGGGGAUCUUAAAAGGUUAGGAUCUUGUGAGUUUAGAAGAAUGUGAUAAUGAGCACUGUGUUGUGAGCAGAAAGAGGAAAGAGGAUGCUAGAGAGAAUUAUUAUAUGUAUUAAGGUAUACAGCAUUGAAAACAGAUUCUGUACAACAGUGCAACAAAUUUUUGUUCCGACUAAUGUUUCCUGUAUUGGUCACAAUAAGAAGGCAAUAUAGUUUACAAUGUGUAACAACACAGAGUACUAGAACUUGCUUGAAUACAUGUAGAUGUUGUCAUCUUACUAGUGACACUUUCUGUACUUAUUUUACAAAGGCAGAUAAACAAGACUAAAUGAUGAAUUGACAAAACAAACCAAGUUUCAUUCCUUGAAUUUCAGUAACAUUCAAUCUUCAUCUGGUAGUAAAUUGGGGGAAGAAUGGAUUGGAUUGUCUAUCUCAGUUGUAUCCUCUUGUGGAUAAAGAAAAGGCUUAGGAGGCAUUACCAAUUGUUCAAUGUCUCCUUCUAGCAUCUUAAUAACUCUGUUCAUUGAAGGGCGCUCACUUGGUUUCAUUUGUAUACACCAUAAUGCUACUAAUAUCAUCUUC
rnacentral:lncRNA from 1 species